rnacentral:rRNA from 1 species
CUAAGGCCGAUGGCGACCGGCGCACGGGUGAGUAACACGUAUCCAACCUGCCGAUGACUCGGGGAUAGCCUUUCGAAAGAAAGAUUAAUACCCGAUGGCAUAGUUCUUCCGCAUGGUAGAACUAUUAAAGAGUUUCGGUCAUCGAUGGGGAUGCGUUCCAUUAGGUUGUUGGCGGGGUAACGGCCCACCAAGCCUUCGAUGGAUAGGGGUUCUGAGAGGAAGGUCCCCCACAUUGGAACUGAGACACGGUCCAAACUCCUACGGGAGGCAGCAUG